CUUCUUGAACGAGGCUGUAGUCGUACACAAUUUGCUGUGCGGUAGAGUUGGCGGGCCAAUGCUGUUAUUACCGGCCUCUGGCCAACCAUGAAGAUUUCUUCUGGAUUUCUUCCACAGAACCUGCCAGACAAACUUAAAGGACAAGUCUCACAGUAAACAAUUGUUCAGCUUUUAGUGCAGAAGCACAAAUCCGCAACUUAUUAAAAUGUCGAAAAGAAAAAGGGUCUGAAAACUUUUCGAGAGCAUUGUAUAUCUAUCCUAACAUAAAAACCUAAAACUAUAAGGGCAGAAUAGAUGGACCAUUACGUAGGGCAGAAUGGACCAAAGGGUAAUGGCCAACGUGAAAGCAAGAAACCCAUUAGGAGCAACAUUAGGCCAGAAAGAUUUGUCACUGGAAGGGUUGACAGAGAAGGAUCUAAGCCCCACCAUAUAGGGAAGGUAAAGAACUGCUUCCAGAAGAAGCGAGGAGAAAAAUUAGUGACUGAAGAUUGCAGGAAUCCAGGGCCAUGUCGAUGUCAUAUGGAAAAAAAAGGCACACUGUAAUCGGGAACAGAAUAACAUCCAAAGUACACUUGGAAAUGUGAAGAUCUGUCUAUCACUCUAA